rnacentral:rRNA from 1 species
UACGUAGGGACCGAGCGUUGUCCGGAAUCAUUGGGCGUAAAGAGCGCGCAGGCGGUCGUCCAAGUCGCGUGUGAAAGCCCCCGGCUCAACUGGGGAGGGUCACGCGAUACUGGUCGACUCGAAGGCAGGAGAGGGUAGUGGAAUUCCCGGUGUAGUGGUGAAAUGCGUAGAUAUCGGGAGGAACACCAGUGGCGAAGGCGACUACCUGGCCUGUUCUUGACGCUGAGGCGCGAAAGCUAGGGGAGCAAACGGG